AACGAACGCUGGCGGCAUGCCUAACACAUGCAAGUCGAACGAGACCUUCGGGUCUAGUGGCGCACGGGUGCGUAACGCGUGGGAACCUGCUCUUAGGUUCGGAAUAACUCCCCGAAAGGGGUGCUAAUACCGGAUAAUGUCUUCGGACCAAAGAUUUAUCGCCUUUGGAUGGGCCCGCGUUGGAUUAGCUAGUUGGUAGGGUAAAAGCCUACCAAGGCGACGAUCCAUAGCUGGUCUGAGAGGAUGAUCAGCCACACUGGGACUGAGACACGGCCCAGACUCCGACGGGAGGCAGCAGUGGGGAAUCUUGGACAAUGAGCGAAAGCCUGAUCCAGCAGUGCCGCGUGAGUGAUGAAGGCCUUAGGGUUGUAAAGCUCUUCUACGCGGGAUGAUAAUGACAGUACCGGGAGAAUAAGCUCCGGCUAACUCCGUG
rnacentral:rRNA from 1 species